AUUGAACGCUGGCGGCAGGCCUAACACAUGCAAGUCGAGCGGAUGAGAGGAGCUUGCUCCUUGAUUUAGCGGCGGACGGGUGAGUAAUGCCUAGGAAUCUGCCUGGUAGUGGGGGAUAACGUUCCGAAAGGAACGCUAAUACCGCAUACGUCCUACGGGAGAAAGCAGGGGACCUUCGGGCCUUGCGCUAUCAGAUGAGCCUAGGUCGGAUUAGCUAGUUGGUGAGGUAAUGGCUCACCAAGGCGACGAUCCGUAACUGGUCUGAGAGGAUGAUCAGUCACACUGGAACUGAGACACGGUCCAGACUCCUACGGGAGGCAGCAGUGGGGAAUAUUGGACAAUGGGCGAAAGCCUGAUCCAGCCAUGCCGCGUGUGUGAAGAAGGUCUUCGGAUUGUAAAGCACUUUAAGUUGGGAGGAAGGGCAGUAAGCUAAUACCUUGCUGUUUUGACGUUACCGACAGAAUAAGCACCGGCUAACUUCGU
rnacentral:rRNA from 1 species